rnacentral:tRNA from 1 species
GCCGGCGUAGCCCAACUGGCAGAGGCGCAUGACCUAGGAUCAUGACAGUGCGGGUUCGAAUCCCGCCGCCGGCACC